UACGUAGGGUGCGAGCGUUAAUCGGAAUUACUGGGCGUAAAGCGUGCGCAGGCGGUUCGCCAAGUCAGGUGUGAAAUCCCCGGGCUUAACCUGGGAAUUGCGCUUGAAACUAGCGGGCUUGAGUGUGUCAGAGGGGGGUGGAAUUCCACGUGUAGCAGUGAAAUGCGUAGAGAUGUGGAGGAACACCAAUGGCGAAGGCAGCCUUCUGGGCCAACACUGACGCUCAUGCACGAAAGCGUGGGGAGCAAACAGG
rnacentral:rRNA from 1 species